ACAGUUUAAGUACUUUCCAUAAAGGACAGCUUGCUAUGGCUAUAUGCCAUAGCCUAAAUAAUUUCAGUUAUAUUUCAAUUAAAACAUUUUAAGUACAGUACUGUUUCCAUAAAGGACAGCUCGCUAUGGCUAUAUGCCAUAGCCUAAAGUGUUUCCAUAAAGGACAGCUUGCUAUUGGCUAUAUGCCUUAGCCUGAAAAAUUUCAAUAUUAAAUUUAGCAUUUAACUAUAUUGCUUAAGCUUUUGAAAUAGACAUCGCAGUUUAUUGAUAUUCAAAUUUAUUAAGAUUCACUGCCUAUGUGACAUGUUUUAGUUAUGAUGAAAGGCAAGUAUAAAGUGCCAUUGGAGUAAAAGUGUAUUUAUGUUUUAUAAAACUGUGCAGUAGUUUUACACAACUAUAUACCUCUCUCCUCCGCAGAGGCUUUAGUAUACAUUUCACUACACUAUAUACAGUGUUACUAAACUGCAUGCUAAAAGUUUCUGUUGACUGUUAGAAUGGUGGCUUGUAAUUGUGGGUGUCUGGCUAGGAUUUGACAUUUAAAUAUUUACAAGUGCAUUAGGUCUCUUAGGUUUAGUUUAAGACCAACAUGAGCGAGUGAGAUAAACUCGACUAGCUUAGGUUAAGGCAUCAAGCGUGAAUUCCGUGGAAUGCGUGCGUGCACUAGACCCCUCAGGAUCCCCCAAACCUUUUUUCAAUACCAAAUGUGAAAUUACCCCACCUUACCACAUCGUUGAAGAAUUAUGGUGGAUAUCUUGGGCAAAUGUGCAAUACUAUGAGGGAUAUCUUGGGCAAAUGUGCAUUUUCUUGGUGGAUAUCUUGGGCAAAUGUGCAAUACCAUCAGGAAUAUCUUGGGAAAAUGUGCAAAAUGAUGAGGGAUAUCUUGGCACAGUAUCUUGGAUAAAUUUAUCUUAAAUUGCUAAAGAACAAUGUUGUAAGGUUGGUUGAUAUUUAUAUUAGCGAUAAAAUGGGGGUUCCUUGCGCAUAGGAACGAAGUAAGGUUGGCUGAUGGAGUGUAACAAUCUAACAAUAUAGACUUUGAUGGCUUGAACCAUGGAUAAUAAAAUAAAUGGAUAGGAAACUAGCUGACGUGACCUAAUCUUUUCAAUGGGCUGAUGGCGUGAUUGGAUGUUCAAACCUAGUUGCAAACCAAAUUCUCAAAAACGGCAUGUUUAGCAAUAAUACAGCUAAACAUUUUAGUCAAAAAGCAAAUGAAUAUAACUACGCCAUUCUACGAUGAAAUCUCUAAGUAUUCCCAGUCAAUUUUAGCAAAUAUUUCAAGCACUAAACAGUGAAAAAUGCAUCCCAAAUUUCGUUAAAAUUGGGGACGCCAAUUUCGUAGCUACAAAUGUAAAAAAA
rnacentral:lncRNA from 1 species